rnacentral:rRNA from 1 species
CGAGCGAGCGGAACCACAGAUUUACUUCGGUAAUGACGUUGGGAAAGCGAGCGGCGGAUGGGUGAGUAACACGUGGGGAACCUGCCCCUAAGUCUGGGAUACCAUUUGGAAACAGGUGCUAAUACCGGAUAAUAAAGCAGAUCGCAUGAUCAGCUUUUGAAAGGCGGCGUAAGCUGUCGCUAAGGGAUGGCCCCGCGGUGCAUUAGCUAGUUGGUAAGGUAACGGCUUACCAAGGCGACGAUGCAUAGCCGAGUUGAGAGACUGAUCGGCCACAUUGGGACUGAGACACGGCCCAAACUCCUACGGGAGGCAGCAGUAGGGAAUCUUCCACAAUGGACGCAAGUCUGAUGGAGCAACGCCGCGUGAGUGAAGAAGGUUUUCGGAUCGUAAAGCUCUGUUGUUGGUGAAGAAGGAUAGAGGUAGUAACUGGCCUUUAUUUGACGGUAAUCAACCAGAAAGUCACGGCUAACUACGUGCCAGCAGCCGCGGUAAUACGUAGGUGGCAAGCGUUGUCCGGAUUUAUUGGGCGUAAAGCGAGCGCAGGCGGAAAAAUAAGUCUAAUGUGAAAGCCCUCGGCUUAACCGAGGAACUGCAUCGGAAACUGUUUUUCUUGAGUGCAGAAGAGGAGAGUGGAACUCCAUGUGUAGCGGUGGAAUGCGUAGAUAUAUGGAAGAACACCAGUGGCGAAGGCGGCUCUCUGGUCUGCAACUGACGCUGAGGCUCGAAAGCAUGGGUAGCGAACAGGAUUAGAUACCCUGGUAGUCCAUGCCGUAAACGAUGAGUGCUAAGUGUUGGGAGGUUUC